CAACCCUAAAGAAACAUAGUUGCAGCUCUGUCUCCCUCCUAUCGCCACCGCCAAGAUCCUUCCUCAGUUCCACAAAAUCUCACCAAUCGACAAUCAUACACUCGAUCUAAGAUCUUUGUUACCUAUCAAUCAAGAUUGUUGUUUUUCAGCCCAAUUCCAAGCACAGCCAGGGUUUCUGUCAUAAAUCGAUUUCUAGGGUUUUUGACAUAAAAUGGUUUGGAUAAAAUAUUGUGGAAAAUGAUGAUGACAUAACUAAAUGCAAAAAGAGUAAUUCUACUGGUUCCGGAUCGAAAAAGUGGAUGUUCUGGUCUUUGCUGAGGCGGAGCAAUAGCGAAGGUAAGGAGUCGAUGGUGUUGAAGAAGGUGGAUAGUCCGAAGCAAAAGCGGAAUUUGGGUGAGGGUUUUGCACAGAUUGGCGAACGAUUGUCGUGUUGAUAAGCUGGUAUAAUCUGUUUGAAGUGCUAUCAUAAUAGGUCCAAUCUGCGACUAGGAGGGAUCUAAGGCAUGGCUAAUUAGGAUUAUGAUACAUACAUUAUCAAAUGGUUACCAGAAUGCCUUAGCAUUAUUGGAUAUCUACGAAUAAUAGGAAUAUAUAGUGAGUAUGGAAUGCUCCUACAUGUAUCUUUAUUGUAUCUAACUAUUUACUCAUGGGUUAUGCAGCAACUGAUAGUAUUCUUUGUUAUAGACAAAUGGAAAGAAUAGCGGUGGAAUAUUGCAAGGCAGCUGGGUCGGUCUUCUCACGCGUGUCCAGGCGUUUCCUUUCCUUCAUGGUGUGGAGAGAUAUGCUUAUAGAGAGAGAGAGAUAGACAAGGAAGACGGCAUCACGAAUGGUGAGAACAGUACCUGGACUGACUAAAGAUUACCGAAUAGGUGAAUUCACCUGAUAUAAUUCAAAGUACAAAAUGAUGAAUUGACUCAUCAUUCAUGAAUCUAGCAAAUGACAUGUUGACACAAGACUAGAAAUAACAAGAACAUCUUAAGUGAUGUUAAUCUGAGAGGAGGAGUUCAUAUUUAUUUUGUGUUGUCAACGAAGAGCUUUAUCAUGAUGUAGAUUAUCUCUUUUCCAGCUUGAGCUACUAUCAAUUAUGGAGAAGUUGCGAGACAUAUGGUACAAAGGAUCUAGGAAUCAACAAAGGUUAUACAAUGGUUUCGGGUGUUUGGCGACAGGGAGAAUGUUGGGCGUUGGAGCAUGUUUCGGUACCUACGAGUUAUUGACGACUUUCUAUAAAGACGGCCGUAAAGACAACUAGGUGUACAUCUCUAAAGCUCUCACAGCAGGAAUCGUAGCAAGUGGUGUGGUGUCACACCCCCAAAAUCCACCUGCGGAUAACACCCGCUUCGAGGGCGUGACUGACCAGGAUCCAGCCACCAAUUAUACUGAGCAUUUAAUUAAUAGUAGAAAUAUUUAAUAUCCGAAGUAAUUAAUCAACAUUAGAGUUUAGAUUCGGUAAUUGGUUUAACAAAACAGCGGAAGCAUAAACCAAAACAGUUUUAAAGACAGUUCAUUGAUCAAAACAGUUAUCCCAACACACGGGUUUGACGAACACUACACAUCCCCAAGCAGCAGCUCCUGAAUCAUUGGUUACCUGCAAAGCAUGCAGUAAGGGGUCAACAAUUAUGCUGAGUGAGUUCACUAGUUGUCCAGUUUUAAUUACCAAAAACUUGUUUCACCGGUUAAUUUACCCGUUUAUACAUGCCCUGGGGAGCUACCCCAAAAGUUAGCGACUAAACUGUUUUUCCAAUACCGAACACUAGUAACCG
rnacentral:lncRNA from 1 species